rnacentral:rRNA from 1 species
UGGGGAAUUUUGGACAAUGGGGGAAACCCUGAUCCAGCCAUCCCGCGUGUGCGAUGAAGGCCUUCGGGUUGUAAAGCACUUUUGGCAGGAAAGAAACGUCAUGGGUUAAUACCCCGUGAAACUGACGGUACCUGCAGAAUAAGCACCGGCUAACUACGUGCCAGCAGCCGCGGUAAUACGUAGGGUGCAAGCGUUAAUCGGAAUUACUGGGCGUAAAGCGUGCGCAGGCGGUUCGGAAAGAAAGAUGUGAAAUCCCAGAGCUCAACGUUGGAACUGCAUUUUUAACUGCCGGGCUAGAGGGUGUCAGAGGGAGGGGGAAUUCCGCGUGUAGCAGUGAAAUGCGUAGAUAUGCGGAGGAACACCGAUGGCGAAGGCAGCCUCCUGGGAUAACACUGACGCUCAUGCACGAAAGCGUGGGGAGCAAACAGG